UUAAAAAAAAAUCUAAAAGCUGGACUUUGUCUCCUGCAAUUAUUUAUUUCAUUUAGAAAUGGGUCUCCAACAUUCAGAAUUGAUCAAGAACUUGAACGAACCAUGCAGAAUGCGAUUUUCUCAAAGAGCAGGAAUUAUGAAUUGUCAAGCGAGGCUAGCUCAAGACAGUUCACACGCUUUUCACGUACAUAACCAGUGAGCGCAGAAGAAAUCCAAUCUUAUGUAUUGAACGAAAUAAAAAUAUAUAUAUUUCCA